UCCAGACUCCUACGGGAGGCAGCAGUGGGGGAUAUUGCACAAUGGGGGGAACCCUGAUGCAGCGACGCCGCGUGAGUGAAGAAGUAUUUCGGUAUGUAAAGCUCUAUCAGCAGGAAAGAAAAUGACGGUACCUGACUAAGAAGCCCCGGCUAACUACGUGCCAGCAGCCGCGGUAAUACGUAGGGGGCAAGCGUUAUCCGGAUUUACUGGGUGUAAAGGGGGCGCAGACGGCAGCGCAAGCCAGGAGUGAAAGCCCGGGGCCCAACCCCGGGACUGCUCUUGGAACUGCGCGGCUGGAGUGCAGGAGGGGCAGGCGGAAUUCCUGGUGUAGCGGUGAAAUGCGUAGAUAUUAGGAGGAACACCAGUGGCGAAGGCGGCUUACUGGACUGUAACUGACGUUGAGGCUCGAAAGCGUGGGGAGCAAACAGGAUUAGAUACCCGCGUAC
rnacentral:rRNA from 1 species